GUCGAGAAUCUUUCACAAUGGGGGCAACCCUGAUGGAGCGACGCCGCGUGGAGGAUAAGGUCUUCGGAUUGUAAACUCCUGUCAUGCGUGAACAAGGUUGCUUGGUUAAUACCUGGGCAAAUUGAUGGUAACGCAAGAGGAAGAGACGGCUAACUCUGUGCCAGCAGCCGCGGUAAUACAGAGGUCUCAAGCGUUGUUCGGAAUCACUGGGCGUAAAGGGUGCGUAGGUGGCGUGGUAAGUCAGAUGUGAAAGCCCGGGGCUCAACCUCGGAACUGCAUCCGGUACUGCCAUGCUAGAGUACUGGAGAGGUGACUAGAAUUCUCGGUGUAGCAGUGAAAUGCGUAGAUAUCGAGAGGAAUACCAAAGGCGUAGGCAGGUCACUGGACAGUUACUGACACUGAGGCACGAAGGCCAGGGGAGCGAACGGGAUUAGAAACCCCGGUAGUCC
rnacentral:rRNA from 1 species